GUACACGCUGUGACUAGCAUAUCAAUAAGCGGAGGAAAAGAAACUAACAAGGAUUCCCCUAGUAACGGCGAGUGAAGCGGGAAGAGCUCAAAUUUGAAAUCUUAAAGGGUUUCCCUUUACGAAUUGUAGUUUAAAGAAGUGUUUUCUGUUGAGGUUUUGGUAGAAGUUCUUUGGAAUAGGACAUCAUAGAGGGUGAGGAAUCCCGUAUUUGACCUUUACUUUCAACUUUGUGAUACACUUUCAAAGAGUCGGAUUGUUUGGGAAUGCAGUCCAAAAUGGGUGGUAAAUUUCAUCUAAAGCUAAAUAUUGGCGAGAGACCGAUAGCGAACAAGUACCGUGAGGGAAAGAUGAAAAGAACUUUGAAAAGAGAGUUAAAUAGUACGUGAAAUUGUCAAAAGGGAAGCGUUUGACACCAGUGUUGUUUUUCUGAAAAUCAAUUAAAGAACUGUUUAUGCUAAGCUGUUUAGACUUUAUCAGCUAUCUGUUUAGUUUUGAGCUUUUCUUUAAUGCACUUUUCAGUUAACAAGUCAACAUCAAUUUCUUUUGCUGUAAAAAAGCUUGAGGAAGGUGGCUUGAGAUUCGUCUUAAGUGUUUAUAGCCUCUUGCCUAUGCAGUCGGAGAGAUUGAGGUCUGCAGCGUAGAUCCUUCGGGGCUAAAUGCAUUUGUGCUAAGUUAUAGCAUUUUAUAGACAACUUGUUGACUAUGAUUUGUCUUGUAGCUUACUCGCUUAUGUUAUUUUACCUACGCUUAGGAUGUUGAUAUGCAUGACUGAUAU
rnacentral:rRNA from 1 species